GUACCUGUAGCGCAAUGGAUGCGGCGUUGGACUUCUAUUCCAAAGAGCGUGCCUUCGAAUCUCACCUGGGAUG